UAUUUGACACAUCUAUCUAAAUCAAAAUUUUAAUAAUUUUCACGCCAAACAUUUACUGGACUGAUUUAAGCAUUAAAAUCACUCCUUUCUAAUCCUCUGCUGUACAUUCAAACCCGAGGCCUUAAAUAGAAACACACAAGUAUCUGAUUGAAGGAACUUCUGUAGAGUCCUGGUUCCAGAACAUGAUGAUGGAAUUAUAGACAAACUUUAACAAAAGCUGCCUGAGAGUUUACAGGUUUUUAUGUUGGAUUUCUUCAGUAAUUUAAUGAGAGUUAUCAGCAAUAAUCAAGUGUUCAUUUGAUGAACUUCAUUUCCUGAAACAUCCAGAAUUGGAGCUCAUAUCUUUGGCAGCUGUAAAGUUUCUGCUCCUUCAAAGUUCACAACACAAUGAAUUAAUUCCUAAAACACUCUCAAUGCUGGAGAGCGUUUGAUGCUGAAGCACUGAUCAGUUUUUCUGUUUCUUCUCUGGAGAUGCACAAUGAGGGACGUCUGCAGAGACUGAGAAAGAGUCUCACCACAUCCUGACAUGAGGAAAGAGACUUUAUUGAAGACUACAAUGAGAAAAACUAUCAGACAGCAGACGGCUGCAUUCAAGAGAAGAAGACCAUCAAACAUCCACGUCAGCUGAUGGAGGUCCAAGAGUCUCACCGAACAACCAACCUACAGAGUGAAGACCUUAAAUCUGAUUGGACAGCCUCCUAUUCAGCCACAUUUUAGGCUGUUAGAUUGUUCCAGAUAAGACAAGUACAAGAUUCUUCAGAGCCGUUCUACCACGAGCCUGACAGGAAGAACUCCAACAGCUACUGAAUGUUCCUGUGGUCCCCUCAAG
ensembl:lncRNA